AGGUUACUCUCCACUCACAACAGUAGAACAGGAGUCCAAAAGAUCCGAGCUUCAAUUUUGGGCAAUUAUCCUCAUCUGCAUUUUCACCCUGCUUGGCUUUGUUCUUCUUCUCUUGUUAUGCUUCCUGAUUGUCUCUUGUCUAAGAAGAAAGUCACAGCUAUACCAGGUUCAACAGGGCAUGUACGGGGGGUUCUUCCCACAUCUGAACACAAGAAAAGUGCAUUGACAGAACAGAUGAAGUCUGUCUUGACAGACCUGCUUGUCCCUCGAUGAAGGAAAAAAAUGUUUAUAAGUACUAGAAAAAUGUUUCUUUAAUAAAUUAUGUUUAGCA